CCGCGUCCCAUUUUUAACUAUACGCAAGUACGAACAUUAUUUCCGCGAACGUAAACCGUUAUCGCAGUAAGUUUACGUUUGUAAAUCAACAAGUCGGUCGUCAAAUACGCAUUGUAUAAAAUACAACUAGGCAGUUAUUUAAAGUAAAGAAUUAGAGCUGCGCCUGCACAACCCACGAUGACCGAACACAGGAAAUGUCUGAACAGUCACCCGCCGGUUUCCUGAUGCAGAGUGAGACAAUAUGAACGUCAACCGGUUUCAGCUGAGCUCAUUCGACUAUCAGCAUACCUACGUACCUACCCACCAUAUCUACGUUUCUCUGCGAUUAAAUUUUGAACACUCGAUUGAGAUUGAGAGAGGCCUGGCGACCGGCCCAGGCCCACUACCGGUUCGAGACAGAAAUAUUCGGCAGCCGAGGCGGAAGUGGCCUCGGAAUCUUUACCUGUUGCUCCCUUCUCUCCCCGCUCGCGGCGACGCGGCAGCCGUCCCGCUCUUGCACGUACAAACAUGGCGGCUGGCGGCCUAGUCUGCGGUUAGGCGUCGAGUAGUUUCAUGUUGUGGAGUAAUUUGGAAAAUAAAACACAACGAUGUUGAACCGUACGUGGCCGUCGUGACCGUGACCGCAGAUCUUGACGCUACUUUCUUUGUCGAUUUUAUAAAUGUUACGCGAUCGCUUACAUUGUCUAUUCGUGUUUUUAUUUUCGUUUUCGUAAUCGACGGCCAUUUGUUAUCUAUGGAUAGUAAUGUUUGAUUGUUGAUAAGCUUUCAUUGCUUAUUAAGUUUAUGGAAGUGAAUAUGAUGAAUUUGGCGCCUUUUUAAUUAUACAUACGUAAUUUUUUUAAGCGUAGCUUUAAUGCAUUACAAUCUAAAAAUUGUAAGAUAAGAGGACAGGAGCUUAAUGUUUGCGGGUAGGUAAUAAUGGGUUGGAGGUAAAUGUGUGAGUGAGCUACAUGGGAAACAUUUAGUCAGAGGUGCGUGGCUGACGGCGGCGGCCCCGUCGGAAUGCGACGCGCGGCCGGACUCGAAUCUGAACAUGCGGAAGUGCCCGAAAUAAGUUCAUUGCGUGAGCGGCAUAUGUAGGUACAAUCUAACAGACUACUUGCCUCUGUUAAAUUCUAGCAUUGCUUCACAUUUGUAUUUCUUCAUUAGAACUUUUAUUUUAUAACUAAUUUUGAUGAUACGCAACAUUGUAGGGUAGUUCUUAAUAAUACGAUCAUCGAUACACUUAAAGUCGAGACCUUCCUGACUUUUCUAUACGUCGAUAUUCUAAAAUGUUAGUAUUGAAUGGAGUGUUCUGUUCAGUUUCUUGUUUAUAUGGCUCUCCCUCAGCGGAUUGGGUCAAAAUGGAGUGUUCCAUACAGGUUUGACGUCUUCCGAAGAGUCGAUUUUCGAAAUGUCAUUUUGUAAAUAACGCGGAGCAAAUUUAUCCUAAUUUCUUUUUUAGCCUCACUUUUUCUUUGGAUUAGGUACUUAUAGGUUAUAAAUCAAUGGCAAAUCUUUAACGUUAUUGAAAUUCUGAAGUUUCUCUGCAUAUACACUUAUUACUUUUAACACAAUACUAAUUUCAACGCCUCGAUAAUUUCUUUCCCUUUAAUUACUAUUUAAAAAGGAAAUUAGUUCUAGUUGCAAAAGGAAAUUAAAAACGUUCGCUUUGGGGGUGUCGGAAACGAGAGGGUCGCGGGGCGCGCGCAAAUCUACUUCAACUUCCGCUAAUGUCCGCCAACCGGAACAGGAACCGCUCAGAGGAAGUUAGCCCACAUCCGUUAAUAUCGUAAAACGAUUAAAAUUUAUUUAACGUUCGCACAUAAAUGUUAAUUAAACAAUAACUAACAAUUAGAAGAAUACAAACCCAUUAAAAAACAAAGAUUAAGUGACUGUUCCUGAAACCUGUGUGUUCCUACCUUAUGGACAAAUAAGUUUUGAUUAUAUGUAAACAGUGAUAUUGAAAGCUUUUUGCAGAUGAGUAGAUCUCGAAUGAACUGCAUUAUGUAACCUUACAUGUGCGGUGUAGUUCAAGGCUGUAUGUUACGACAUAAUCUUUAUAUGGCUGCAUGGGAAAAUUGUGUAUACAUAUUAUGUGCUGAAUCUUAACGUAUUAUCCACGUUCCCAUAACAUGUACAAUUGAUAUAUAAAUAAACUAUUU